UAAUGCUACUGCUGCAAAUAUACAAGAUGAAAUUCAGAGUUUGAAGGCUACUAUUCUCCUUAUGCAACAACAACUUGAUGCUAUUGAUGGCGGGAGAGUGGUUACUUCAUCAUCACCUCCAUCUCAAACCAAUCGAUUUUAGAAUUGUUGUUUGUGAAGACUAUUACAUUGUUGUUUAGACUUGAAUUGACUAUUUUUAUGUAUUAAAUGUGGAUUGAUAAUGUAUUAUUUCUUGAACUUAA